AGACUGUGAAUGAGGUUGGUUCCAGCCCAGGGUCGGCAUCCAGCUUCACUUCCGUCCAUCCCAGGUCCAUCCAGCCCGGAGAGUGGACGCAACAGCUGUCUGUGGAGCUUUGGGAGCCCUGCACCUUCUCCAGGCCUCACUCCCAAGAGGAGCCAGCUUAGAAACGCCCCGUGACCCCUGUGACUUUCCCACGAGGUGCACAAUCCAGGUUUGGCUCCAUCCUCCAGAGGGAGGCCGAGAUCCCAGGAGUCUGGCCCUGGAAGAGGAUGGGAACCCGUCCCCACCCUCCCCUUCGCUCCCUCUGUUCCACCCUCAUUGCUGUUCCAGUCCUUCCCCUGCGCCUGGGCUGCUGGUCCCCCCCAGGACACCACCGACACCCUCCCUGCCUCGGCCCCAGUGUCCCCUUCUCAGGUAGGCCGUGCUUCGUGUCAGACCAACCAGGUGUGACACUUAUUUUUGUUUUCCUGUCACCUGCCUCUGUCUUCUGGAAUGUCUGCUCCUGGGGACACUUGCCCCUGUGGUGUGUCUGCUGCUGGCACGUGGGAGCCGCCUGACCCUCUGGACAUGUCAGUGUGCAAGAGUGUCCCUGGGCCAUGUGAGCAGCCUAAGGACCCGUGGAGCCGGGACUUCCCACAGCCACACACACUGCCGACUGGUCUGUGUCCACUCCAAACGGGGUGGCAGGAAGGAGCAGGACGGGCCCAGAACCUGAGGGCCAGGGUCCUGCAGGCUGCCUGCCCGGAGCUUUGGCUCCUUGCACCCUCCAGCUCCUGGGCCCAGGCACCCUGGGGGCCUCUCCAACGG
rnacentral:lncRNA from 1 species